rnacentral:tRNA from 1 species
UCCCUAGUGGCUCAGAUGGUAAAGCGUCUGCUUGCGAUGCAGGAGACCUGGGUUCGAUUCCUGGGUUGGGAA